rnacentral:lncRNA from 1 species
CAUCUCCAAUGGAGAACUUGUCCCCGCUACAGGAUAAGAAAUAGUUCUCAAAUCAACAAUCCAAAGGCACGAAAAUACUAAGUAAAUGUAUCUUGCAACAACAUCAAAUAGGAUUGUAGAAUAAUUUACAAAUCACAGCUCACAAUGACAAGUCCCUGGAAGGAAUUCUCACAAACAGAAAAUAAUAUGGCUCAGCACCUAGACGUUGCCUUCCUGGCUUCCUGUAGAUCGAGCAAAGAGUGAGUAGAGAGAGAACAUCGAGAGUUUGGCCAAGGAUAAGGUCACAGGGAUGCGUUCAUGCCGGCCGAACAACGCCUGUCCUCUAGCUUCGCCACGGUUGUGAAGAAACUGGAGCACGAGCCUACGAGCCAGUCAGAUGAGCACGAGCCUGGGGCGAGCGCGAGCUGCAUGACGGCAUCGCCGGCUAGUGUUUGCAAGAGCACCUAAACCAUGAGGGAAGGAGAUCGAGAGAGUGGAGCGCUGCUGCGGCGGCUACAGGUGAGGAACUAUUGAGAGAGAGGAUAGAGUUAGUUGGUUAGGGUUACUCUUGCAAUAUAUACUCUGCUCUUGGAUUGGGCCUUUGCGGGCUGCUAGUAGAUCACACGUCUUGAUGGGCCUCGCUAGUACUUAACAAAUUGGAACGGGGACGGAGGACAAGCGACCAUUCACGCCCCGUAAGACCCGACGGGGGAUGCAUUUUCCCCGUAUGAUUCCCCGUGGGGAAGAAAUUGGUUCCAUCCCC